rnacentral:sRNA from 1 species
GACAGAAUUGCAAGUUUGAACAUCUGCUCCGCUAAUGCGCAGUCAGAGGGUGUUCUGGCCCACCAAUUUUGGGCGUGGGUUCGAAUCCCACU